rnacentral:RNase_P_RNA from 1 species
AGCAGGACAGGCGAUCGCGGCUGACAAUACCGAAAGGUGUCAGGUGAGGAAAGUCCGGGCUUCAUAGGGCAGGAUGCCGGAUAACGUCCGGUGGAGGUGACUCCCAGACCAGUGCAACAGAAAUAAACCGCCGCGCAAGCGGUAAGGGUGGAAAGGCAGUGUAAGAGACUACCGCGUCCCUGGUAACAGGAACGGCACAUGUAAACUCCAUUCGAAGCAAGACCGAAUAAAAAGCGAUACGGCUGCCCGUCGUGCUUUUAGGUGGGUCGCUUGAGGCUGCUGGCAACAGCAGUCCUAGACAGAUGAUCGCUCAACGACAUAACCCGGCUUAUCGUUCUGCUUA